CGACGGUUGUAGUUUGAACCAGUUCUGGAAGCUCCCAGUCCCACACAGGUGGGUGUGUCUAAUCCCUUGCAGAUGAAGGAAGCUAUUGACUUUAAAAUAAAGGUCCUCUGUAGACGCUCGAUGUAAUUGCAUACAUGUACGUUCAGCAGAACACCAAGUUUGAACGUGGCGAGGGUACGAAGACGAGGAGAGUGCUAACUAUUCAUGAGAAUGCUGCUGAACCAGACAGAGUAUCUGCAUCAAAACUACAGUUUACAUUACAUGUGGAGACACCAUCAAGAAAGUCUCGAACUACAACACGUACAAUGAUGCGCUUCUUCUCCAGCUUGGGGAACUAUGCCUUUGAUUUGGAUUGUCCAAAGUAUUUUCACGUGCUUUGAGUUCUUUUCAAAAAAUCAUAAUUAGAGAAAAGUUUUCCUGGCAGAUUCCAGCGAAUUGAUGCAGUUCACUACAAGGUAUUUGUGUAUAAAUUAAUUAGAUAUAUUGUUGAAAUCUCAGCUAAAGAUCAAUACUUAUUUUACCACUUCAAACUAUAACGAAAACCUUCAUAGGUUUUAAAAAACAAGUAUAAUUCAUUUGCAGUUUUACUUCUAACUCUCAUUGAAUUGGAAAAUAAUUGAUUUUAGCCCUAUUUCCAGAUAUAUUCAUUUACUUUUAAUUCACCCUUUUUGUGUUUGUUUAUGUUUUUGUUUCUUUGUUUUGAUACUUGUGAAAAAUGUAAUUGGCCUUAAUGUUGGGGUCUUAAAAAAGGAUUGUUGGAAACAUACUGAUAGGCAUGUGGCAUAUUCACAUAAAUGUCACAUUAUUUUUGCUGUCGUGAUGUACAAUAUUUUCUAGGGGUGACCAUAAAAAUGCAUUUGUAUUUUAUUGUUGUCAUUUUCAUGAUUCGAUAGAACUGAAUAGGCCUUUCACCACAAUCCUAUAGGUGAAAAUGAAGACAGCUUUGUGAAGUGCCCUAAAUGCGUUUAUUUCAAUGUUGUUAAUAUUGUGACUGAAGUUUUACUUGCAAUUUUGAAUACUGUUCGAAAACUAAACACAC